rnacentral:lncRNA from 1 species
AGAGGAGCUAUAAUACUCCUUCUCCAAGAAAACACAAGACAGUAAAUCCUCUUUUUUGGAAAUAAUCUCAAUCUCUCUGCUUUUCAGUUUUUGGCUGUUUAGAAAUUUUGUUUAUCAGCAGUAGAACCACUGCUGGACUUUGCUUGAUGCAGCCUUAUUUAAUGUUUGAUCCAGUGUUGGCUUUGUCCCUCUUUAAUUAUGCAUGAAAACAGAACAAGUAGACAAUAAUUGAUAGUGCUUCUGGCGUUGUUUUCCACAGAGCUUUAUCACCACAGGGGGCCAAAAAAAAAAAACCAAAAAAAACCCCUCCAAAAACCAAAACAAAAAACCUAUCCAAAUUGUCUCCCUGUCACCAGGAAGAAAUAGAGGCAGUCCUGGCCAUGGAAACAGUUUGCUUCUUUUCUCUUUUCUUUUUCAUUCUUUUCUCUCCCCCACCUCCGCCCCCUUCUCUUCCUUUCAUAAUGUGAAUCUCCUGGUUGGGGAGAUAAGCUGCUAAUUCUAUUAAUUUUCUUAUCAAAAUCAGCGAGGUAACCGAAGCUUCCAAUUUAGUGAUUUAUUAUCCUGAGCAAGCUGUGCGAAGUGUACCUUUCAUAUUCUGUAAUUGGCACUAGAGGGGAAGAGACUUUCAAGGGAGACACACUCAGCUAACCGUUUCCAUUUCAAUUGACUAUUGAGCAAACAAAUGCAGUGUCCUUUCAUUGGCUGAAAUCAUUUAAAAUGAUAAAGCUAGCAAUUCUGCAUUUGAAUAUAUGCCAGUGGAUGUCUGUGUGCAAGAUGCUGACCCCUAAGACAUUAAAAUAUGAGCACAAUAACAUCCCUCUGUAGGAUUUUGCAUCAAUAAAACAUCCAAGUGGGAUAUGUUAAUUGACAUGCAAAAGGCCAAAAUUGAUCACACAUGUAAUCUGACCCUUAUUAUUACACCAUCCCCCAAGCCCCUGGAAAUAAACAUCUUCCCUUUGCACACUGAGUGUUGGAUCCUUUUAUAUAUAAAAGAUGGCUGCAAACAGUAGACUCCAGUAUUUAAGCAGUGAGAUAGAAACUUGUAUCAAAGGCAUUAGCAGUGGGAAAGAAAAAGCAUUCACCACUUUCUUUUUUUUUUUUUUUUGGAUGCCAAGGGUAAGUAGGACUGGUUCAGAUAUAAAUGUAGAAGAGAGACUAUACUUUGGGUGGGCAAAGUAGCUGCUUCUUGUUUAGUGUCAUUUGACAAGCUCGGGAAGGCACCUCUGUCAAAUAUUACCCUCAGUAAAGCAGUACUUGAAUCGUAGGGAUCCAUUUCCUUGUUGAUGAUCAUAAUUUUCCUUUAAAAUUAGAUAUUACAUAAUUGUUGGCAUCAACUAGCUUAAUGAUGGCAAAUAACACUGUAUACACUGCCCUAUUUAAAUUUAAGAGCAAAAUAUGAAUUCUCCCAUUCCAUAGAUGAUGCUUAGAGAGGCUUCAGAAAUUAAAUAUCAAAAAGAGGCUUGGGAAGUUAAGUAACUUGUCUGAUUUCAGAUGGUGAGAAAGUGUUCAGGCUGGGGUUUGAAUUUAGCAUCGUGAUAUGUGAAACUCUUCUCGGCUCAUUGUUCUAUUCUUCUCUAGACUUGUAUUUCUGGAAGAAUGAACACCUAGGCCCUUAAAUCUUCAAUAGAAAUCCACACUGAAUUACACCAUGCCCAAACCCUUGAAGUAGUUUUUUGGUACUUAAAACUUCAAAGAUAACUCAUAUGAAAAAGGGGAUCACUGUUUCUCAUGAAAUACAGUUUUGACAAUUGGGAACUUCCCUUCUAAUUCUCUGGGAUCUUUUCGCCUGGGAGAAACAGGCCUGGGAUUAUUUUCCCUUGCAGAGUGCUGUCCGUGGUGCUGAUGGCUGGGAGAUGUACUGCAGUAGUGUGCACAGUGAUUUAGACAUUUGUUUGGGCUUUUAAUCUUUUCUCAUCUACACGCACCACCAAAAUAAAAACCAGUGAAGUAUGUACCUUAUAAAUCUGCUUGUUCUCUCACUCCUCAGAAAUAUUUCAGAAAGAACUUGACACUUGUAAUCAGAACUGGGCUUAGAUGCUGCCUACUUUUGAUUCAGCGAUCCUGCACCCCUUCCUUUUCCAUUUUAAACAGCAUGAAAGUUGUAGGUACCAGAAGGGCAUGCGCUGGGGUAGUGCUGCUGUUGGAAGGAUGUAAAAUUUGCUUAUGUGAAAUGACUCUCCACCUGACUACAAAUAUUGAAUUAAGAGAAGAACAAGUUGCUAGGGCAGUGAGUUAUGUAGAGUACACGGGGGUUGGGGGGUAGGGGGAGAAGCCACUGAGCUUCACAGGGGUGCAGCAAAAAGGCACACAUUUGAUGACAGUGACACAGCGCAAAUAUUUUUUGAAGAUAGAGUUGCAAAGGACCAUUAGAUAUUAAUUACAACCAGAAGGGCCUGAUGACGUUUAGCAAGAUUUGGGUCGAAAGAAAGCCUAUGUGGGAUCUUAUUAAAUAGAAAAAAGUAAAGUAAAUAAUAAUUAUUAGGGGAUAACAAUUCUCUGGGAUUCUUGGAGGUAUGCACAAUAUAAGAGUAGGACAGAAUAACUUGACCAGGUGAAGUAAAAUACAGAAAGGUGGACUAAAGGAAGGGGGAGAAAAGACAAAACUAUGUUUUUGAUAACUAUUACUAUUUAAAAAACACUGUGUUAUCCAGUGUACUAUGUGAUUUUCAGGUAUCAUCACAUAGGAUUAUUUCCAUUUUGCAUAUGAAGGAAUUGUCUAGCUACCAUUCUAUUCUCUAAAUUGUUUUACCAGAAUAUAACAAAUAUGUUGCAUUGUAGAAUUUUUGUACGUCUACUAUUAGUGGAAUAUUAGUUAUAGAUGCAUGGAUAUUGUGGAUUAAAAAGAGAAAGAAUUCACAUUUGGGACAAAAACUUUCCAUAGAACAGACUGAUUCUGUGGUUUAAAUAAUGCACUAAGAUUAUAUAAACCCUAAUUACUAAUAGUAUAACGUCAGUCAAGCUGCAGAAAUUCUCUGAUUUUCAGCAUAAAAUCGAAUAAAGUUUCUGCUAGUAUUUAUUCUAUAAAAUACUUUGAAAAUAAUCAAAACUGGCAUAGUAAGGCAAAGCAUAAUUGUGAAGAAAAACAUUUAUGAGACAAAUUACUUGUGAUUACCAAAGGAUCAUGGAUGCUUUUCAUAAAGCUAGCUAGGAAGAAACUAGAACUUGAUUCUUCAUUUGUUUCCAAGGUUCCACCUGGAUCUUCUGUGUACAAAGGUGACUUUGACUUCAAAGGGCAGUGGGAAUUGAAUCUGGUAUGAAAAUGGGACUAGGAAAUAUAUGGUCUUUCAGGAAAAGGUCAUUACCUACUGUACAGAAGCUCAACUUUUAUUUUGAUUAAAUACUUUUUUCAGUGUGAUUUACUAGCUAAUUACUUCCCCACUUUGUGUCUUGGCAAGACUUACCUGAUAUAUAAUGUCUACUUGUAGGGCUUUGAAGCCUCAAGGUUUGUGUGCUUUUAUGUAAAAUUAUUAAUAUUAAUAAUAAUUAACCAUAAGUGGUAACUACAGUGGGCUAGAUGGCCUUUACUUCUUUCAAAAACUUCUUUAUGUUCUUAGUUUCAAAAGGUAGAGGUGAUAAUGCAAAGAUAUCAGUGACAUUUUAAAUUAAAUUAUUGAUCUUGGACUGAAGUUUAAAUAAUUAACUCAACAAGGGGACUACCUUUCCCUUGUGUCAAAUUGGAAGCUCUAAAUACCAUCUGCUUAUGUCACAGGAAAACUUUUUGUCUGUUUGUAGUCAUGCUGAGUUUGAGGUUCUUGUUGGCCUCGUUUUUAAGACCCUCAUCCAUUAAUCUUACUAGGUAUUAGUCGGUAUCACUGGCAAUUAGUCUUUUAAGUUGCAUCCAGAUGGAAGGUAUAAAUUAUUAGAGGUUUCCUGCCAGGCACAAGUGUAGACGAUUCAUGGACCUAUACCACUUUUUUCAGCUCUCUGUUAAGAAGCUGUGAAGAGUAUGCAGUUGGAAAGACUAACCUUCACAUUUUGUCUUGAUUUCAACACUUGCUGGCCGUUACACCUGGGAUAUCUGGAAACACAACAGGCUGAAGUAUUUUUGAUUUUUUUAGACUUAUUUUAUGUUCUUUUAUUACCUUCCACCUCUUUUGGUUCUCUUUUCUAUUCUCCCUUGUCUAAUAUCAGGAGGAUGCCUCUCCAGAAGUAGCCUUGCCUGCAGUGAAUGUAGUUCUUGCCAGCACUCUCCUGUCUUGGCCAGUGGUAAUAGAUUUGGGGUAAGAGGGGUUACCAGGUUAGAUUUUUCUCAUGAAUAUUUAACUUUUAUGUAUGUGUCAUCCAAUGCAAUCCUAAACUCAGUACAUAAGACCUCACCUAUAGAUUAAAGGAAUGAAAAUUGGCCAUGAGGCUUAUGUGCUUCUCUCGUACCUUUUUCUUACUAUUGCAUUUUCUUGGUAAAACUCUUGCCCUAGAUAAACCCUGAGAGCCACCUACAUUUUUCUAUGCCUGUAUUCAAGCAGUGAAACAUUCCUGGAGAAAGUGAGAGGGAGAUUGGUAGGACUAAAAAUUUAUGAUUAUGUCAUAAUUAAUAUAUAAAUUAGGUAGAAAUCCAACCUAAGCUAGGUUAAGCAAAAAUGUAAAUUUAUUGGCUUAUAUAAAUGGAAGGCUAGAGGGGCAGUCAAGCGUUAGGCAUGGCAGGAUCUGGACAUUCAAGCAGUGUCAUCAGGGCUUUGCUUUCCUUUCUUUUUUUUUUUUUUCCUUACAAAUUUAAUUCUUUUUUUAUUAGGUCAUUAUCC